UACGUAGGGGGCUAGCGUUGUCCGGAUUUACUGGGCGUAAAGGGCGCGUAGGCGGCCAGCACAAGUCAGUUGUGAAAUCUCCGAGCUUAACUCGGAAAGGUCAACUGAUACUGUGCGGCUAGAGUGCAGAAGGGGCAACUGGAAUUCUUGGUGUAGCGGUGAAAUGCGUAGAUAUCAAGAGGAACACCUGCGGCGAAGGCGGGUUGCUGGGCUGACACUGACGCUGAGGCGCGAAAGCUAGGGGAGCGAAUGGG
rnacentral:rRNA from 1 species